rnacentral:rRNA from 1 species
UACGAGGGAUCCUAGCGUUGUUCGGAAUCAUUGGGCGUAAAGGGUGCGUAGGCGGUUUGUCGCGUCUGCUGUGAAAGACCGGGGCUCAACUCCGGUUCUGCAGUGGGUACGGGCAGACUAGAGUGAUGUAGGGGAGACUGGAAUUCCUGGUGUAGCGGUGAAAUGCGCAGAUAUCAGGAGGAACACCGAUGGCGAAGGCAGGUCUCUGGGCAUUAACUGACGCUGAGGAGCGAAAGCAUGGGGAGCGAACAGGA